rnacentral:rRNA from 1 species
GAUGCCCACUUGUGGGUGGAUUAGUGGCGAACGGGUGAGUAACACGUGAGUAACCUGCCCUUAACUCUGGGAUAAGCCUGGGAAACUGGGUCUAAUACCGGAUAUGACUCCUCAUCGCAUGGUGGGGGGUGGAAAGCUUUUUGUGGUUUUGGAUGGACUCGCGGCCUAUCAGCUUGUUGGUGAGGUAAUGGCUCACCAAGGCGACGACGGGUAGCCGGCCUGAGAGGGUGACCGGCCACACUGGGACUGAGACACGGCCCAGACUCCUACGGGAGGCAGCAGUGGGGAAUAUUGCACAAUGGGCGAAAGCCUGAUGCAGCGACGCCGCGUGAGGGAUGACGGCCUUCGGGUUGUAAACCUCUUUCAGUAGGGAAGAAGCGAAAGUGACGGUACCUGCAGAAGAAGCGCCGGCUAACUACGUGCCAGCAGCCGCGGUAAUACGUAGGGCGCAAGCGUUAUCCGGAAUUAUUGGGCGUAAAGAGCUCGUAGGCGGUUUGUCGCGUCUGCUGUGAAAGACCGGGGCUCAACUCCGGUUCUGCAGUGGGUACGGGCAGACUAGAGUGAUGUAGGGGAGACUGGAAUUCCUGGUGUAGCGGUGAAAUGCGCAGAUAUCAGGAGGAACACCGAUGGCGAAGGCAGGUCUCUGGGCAUUAACUGACGCUGAGGAGCGAAAGCAUGGGGAGCGAACAGGAUUAGAUACCCUGGUAGUCCAUGCCGUAAACGUUGGGCACUAGGUGUGGGGGACAUUCCACGUUUUCCGCGCCGUAGCU